rnacentral:rRNA from 1 species
CCUACGGGAGGCAGCAGUGGGGAAUAUUGGGCAAUGGGCGCAAGCCUGACCCAGCAACGCCGCGUGAAGGCAGAAGGCCCUCGGGUUGUAAACUUCUUUUGUCAGGGACGAAACAAAUGACGGUACCUGACGAAUAAGCCACGGCUAACUACGUGCCAGCAGCCGCGGUAGUACGUAGGUGGCACGCGUUAUCCGGAUUUACUGGGUGUAAAGGGCGUGUAGGCGAGAGGGCAAGUCAGAUGUGAAAGUCCAGGGUUCAACCCUGGAACUGCAUUUGAAACUGUUUUUCUUGAGUGAUGGCGAGGCAGGCGGAAUUCCGUGUGUAGCGGUGAAAUGCGUAGAUAUACGGAGGAACACCAGUGGCGAAGGCGGCCUGCUGGACAUUAACUGACGCUGAGGCGCGAAAGCGUGGGGAGCAAACAGGAUUAGAUACCCUUGUAGUC